UUAUUAUAUAAUAGACGGUGUUUUAUUGGCGAAUCCGCCAUUAUGCAUGAUAAUCACACAUGUGCGAUUAUCGUGUUUUGACUCACCAAUCGAAAAUCAGGAUUAAGAGCCGUGGCGGGUAAAAGAGGUUCGUAGUAUAUAAAAUAAACACAAAACUACAUGAAUGCUUGGAAAUCGAUGGAAUUUAUCUCUCGUGUUGAGAAGUUAUCUCUCUCGUUCGCUGCGCUCACUCGUUCAAUAUCUUUCUCAAC